rnacentral:rRNA from 1 species
GUUUUACUCCUAGCCAAACGAUACAAAAUACCAAACAAUCAAACUAAACCAUUUAAUUAAACAGUAUAGGCGAUAGAAAAUUUUACUGAGCAAUAGAUAAAGUACUGCAAGGGAAAGGUGAAAUAAAAAUGAAAUAAAUAAUAAAAACAAUAAAAAAGAAAAGACUAAACCUUGUACCUUUUGCAUAAUGGUCUAGUAAGUCAAACCUAACAAAAAGGAAUAAAGUUAGCCACCCCGAAACUAGACGAGCUACUUAAAAGCAGCACUAACAAGGGCCAACCCGUCUCUGUGGCAAAAGAGUGGGACGACUUCUAAGUAGAGGUGAAAAGCCUAACGAGCCUAGUGAUAGCUGGUUGCUUGAGAAAUGAAUAUAAGUUCAGCUUAAAGCCCUCUAACUUAGUAAAAAACAAAAAUAGCGCUUUAAAGUUAGUUAAUGGAGGUACAGCUCUAUUAACAAAGGACACAACCUAUUUUAUGAAUAAAGAUUAUACUUAUAAAAGAAAUUAACCAUGUAGGCCUAAAAGCAGCCACCAUAAGAAAGCGUCAAAGCUCAGUUUAAUAACCCGCUUAUUAUUUUAAUAAAAAAUCUAAAUUCACAAACAUAUCAAGCCUAUCUACCUGGUAGAUGAGUUUAUACUAGAAUGAGUAACAAGAAAACAUUCUCUUAAUGCAAGUGUAAAUCAGAACGAAAGACUCACUGAUAAUUAACGAUCAUAAAUAUCUAAACACAAGAAAGACAUAUUAAAGCAACCGUUAACCCAACACAGGAGCAUCAAAGAAGAUAAAAAGAUUAAAAAGGAACUCGGCAACCUAGAACUCCGCCUGUUUACCAAAAACAUCGCCUCUUGCCACACAUAGUAUAAGAGGUCCCGCCUGCCCAGUGAUCAAUUUCAACGGCCGCGGUAUCAUGACCGUGCAAAGGUAGCGUAAUCACUUGUCUUUUAAAUAAAGACCCGUAUGAAAGGCAAAACGAAAGUUCAACUGUCUCUUUAAUCUAGUCAGUGAAAUUAAUUUUUCCGUGCAGAAGCGGAAAUAACUCUAUAAGACGAGAAGACCCUAUGGAGCUUUAAAUAAAAAAUUAACCAUACUUUAACUACUGGCCCAAGGGUAAAGAAUAAAAAUGUAUGGCCAUAAUUUUAGUUUUCGGUUGGGGCGACCACGGAAGAAAGCUCAUCCUCCGCGAUAGAAAAUCUAGAACAACAGUUCAAAACUUAAAACAUUUGUUAUAAAUGACCCACUAAGUGAUCAACGAACCAAGUUACCCUAGGGAUAACAGCGCAAUCCUUUCUAAGAGUUCAUAUCGACGAAUGGGUUUACGACCUCGAUGUUGGAUCAGGACACCCCAAUGGUGCAGCCGCUAUUAAAGGUUCGUUUGUUCAACGAUUAAAGUCCUACGUGAUCUGAGUUCAGACCGGAGUAAUCCAGGUCAGUUUCUAUCUAUAAUAAUAAUUUUUUCUAGUACGAAAGGACCGAAAAAAUAGAGCCCCUUAAGAAUAAAGCUCUUAUAAUUCUGAAAACAUAUAAAGAAUUAAAUAAAACACACCUUUAGAACAAAGGUC